UCCAGACUCCUACGGGAGGCAGCAGUGAGGAAUAUUGGUCAAUGGGCGAGAGCCUGAACCAGCCAAGUCGCGUGAGGGAGUACUGCCCUAUGGGUUGUAAACCUCUUUUGUCGGGGAGCAAAAGCCGGACGUGUCCGGCUGUGAGAGUACCCGAAGAAAAAGCAUCGGCUAACUCCGUGCCAGCAGCCGCGGUAAUACGGAGGAUGCGAGCGUUAUCCGGAUUUACUGGGUGUAAAGGGCGUGUAGGCGGGCCUGUAAGUCAGAAGUGAAAUCUGGGGGCUUAACCCCCAAACUGCUUUUGAAACUGCGGGUCUUGAGUGAUGGAGAGGCAGGCGGAAUUCCCAGUGUAGCGGUGAAAUGCGUAGAUAUUGGGAGGAACACCAGUGGCGAAGGCGGCCUGCUGGACAUUAACUGACGCUGAGGCGCGAAAGCGUGGGGAGCAAACAGGAUUAGAUACCCCAGUACG
rnacentral:rRNA from 1 species